AUUGAACGCUGGCGGCAUGCUUUACACAUGCAAGUCGAACGGUAACAGGUUAAGCUGACGAGUGGCGAACGGGUGAGUAAUACAUCGGAACGUGCCCGAGAGUGGGGGAUAACGAAGCGAAAGCUUUGCUAAUACCGCAUACGAUCUCAGGAUGAAAGCAGGGGACCGCAAGGCCUUGCGCUCACGGAGCGGCCGAUGGCAGAUUAGGUAGUUGGUGGGAUAAAAGCUUACCAAGCCGACGAUCUGUAGCUGGUCUGAGAGGACGACCAGCCACACUAGGACGGAGACACGGCCCAGACUCCUACGGGAGGCAGCAGUGGGGAAUUUUGGACAAUGGGCGCAAGCCUGAUCCAGCCAUGCCGCGUGCAGGAUGAAGGCCUUCGGGUUGUAAACUGCUUUUGUACGGAACGAAAAGACUCUGGUUAAUACCUGGGGUCCAUGACGGUACCGUAAGAAUAAGCACCGGCUAACUACGUGCCAGCCGCCGCCGUAA
rnacentral:rRNA from 1 species